UGGGGAAUAUUGGACAAUGGGGAAACCCGUAGCAUCCAGCAAUGCCGCGUGAGUGAUGAAGGCCUUAGGGUUGUAAAGCUCUUUUACCCGGGAUGAUAAUGACAGUACCGGGAGAAUAAGCCCGCUAGCUACCCGUGCCAGCAGCCGCGGUAAUACGGAGGGGCGUAGCGUUGUUCGGAAUUACUGGGCGUAAAGCGCACGUAGGCGGCUUUGUAAGUUAGAGGUGAAAGCCCGGGCUCAACUCCGGAAUUGCCUUUAAGACUGCAUCGCUAGAAUUGUGGAGAGGUGAGUGGAAUUCCGAGUGUAGAGGUGAAAUUCGUAGAUAUUCGGAAGAACACCAGUGGCGAAGGCGACUCACUGGACACAUAUUGACGCUGAGGUGCGAAAGCGUGGGGAGCAAAACA
rnacentral:rRNA from 1 species